CGACCCCGGCAGGACUCGAACCUGCAAUCUUCGGAUCCGAAGUCCGACGCCUUAUCCAUUAGGCCACGAGGCC
rnacentral:tRNA from 3 species